CACCCCAACCUCAACACCGUUCCUUCCAAGAAAAUAAUGUAGCACCAAAAAAAGGAAAGACAUCGAAUUGACAUAUAUAACUUAUAGAUAUGAAAAUAUAAAUGUGAAAUUAAGACUUCUAAAACUUCCUAAUAUUGUACAUUGGAGUGUAUAUAUAGGUCGACAACGAUAAAAUUACUGAAGAAGUGACUUCAUGCUAUUUCCUGCAGAGUGGAAAAUCGGUCAGCUUCGGCCUCGGCUUUCGGGUCCUCUAGGGCAGCAGAGCCCUUGAAGAGCAAAAUAGCAAGGCUGCCAAUGUAGAAAUGGAUGAAACAACCAUAACAAUGUGUUACAAAUGAACCAAAAUCUGUCCCUACUAUGCAUUGCCACCCUGGUCCAUACAUUGUAUCAAAUUCCUUUUUAAGAAAACGUGCAAUUUCAGUGGCCUCAGUGACAUCAAAGAAGUCAAGUGCCUUUGCAGCUAAAUCUAAUGCAUCUUGUUGCAUGGUUCCCAACAUAUCUGUAUCUCCAAUUACUGCUUUCCCUUCCAACAUCUUCCAAAAAAAAAGUGUUGAAUUU
rnacentral:misc_RNA from 1 species